rnacentral:rRNA from 1 species
UGGCGGACGGGUGAGUAACGCGUGGGUAACCUGCCCUGUACAGGGGGAUAACAGUUGGAAACGGCUGCUAAUACCGCAUAAGCGCACGAGAGGACAUCCUCUUGUGUGAAAAACUCCGGUGGUACAGGAUGGGCCCGCGUCUGAUUAGCUGGUUGGCAGGGUAACGGCCUACCAAGGCGACGAUCAGUAGCCGGUCUGAGAGGAUGAACGGCCACAUUGGAACUGAGACACGGUCCAA